GAUGAACGCUGGCGGCGUGCCUAAUACAUGCAAGUCGAGCGAACGGACGAGAAGCUUGCUUCUCUGAUGUUAGCGGCGGACGGGUGAGUAACACGUGGAUAACCUACCUAUAAGACUGGGAUAACUUCGGGAAACCGGAGCUAAUACCGGAUAAUAUUUUGAACCGCAUGGUUCAAAAGUGAAAGACGGUCUUGCUGUCACUUAUAGAUGGAUCCGCGCUGCAUUAGCUAGUUGGUAAGGUAACGGCUUACCAAGGCAACGAUGCAUAGCCGACCUGAGAGGGUGAUCGGCCACACUGGAACUGAGACACGGUCCAGACUCCUACGGGAGGCAGCAGUAGGGAAUCUUCCGCAAUGGGCGAAAGCCUGACGGAGCAACGCCGCGUGAGUGAUGAAGGUCUUCGGAUCGUAAAACUCUGUUAUUAGGGAAGAACAUAUGUGUAAGUAACUGUGCACAUCUUGACGGUACCUAAUCAGAAAGCCACGGCUAACUACGUGCCAGCAGCCGCGGUAAUACGUAGGUGGCAAGCGUUAUCCGGAAUUAUUGGGCGUAAAGCGCGCGUAGGCGGUUUUUUAAGUCUGAUGUGAAAGCCCACGGCUCAACCGUGGAGGGUCAUUGGAAACUGGAAAACUUGAGUGCAGAAGAGGAAAGUGGAAUUCCAUGUGUAGCGGUGAAAUGCGCAGAGAUAUGGAGGAACACCAGUGGCGAAGGGCGACUUUCUGGUCUGUAACUGACGCUGAUGUGCGAAAGCGUGGGGAUCAAACAGGAUUAGAUACCCUGGUAGUCCACGCCGUAAACGAUGAGUGCUAAGUGUUAGGGGGUUUCCGCCCCUUAGUGCUGCAGCUAACGCAUUAAGCACUCCGCCUGGGGAGUACGACCGCAAGGUUGAAACUCAAAGGAAUUGACGGGGACCCGCACAAGCGGUGGAGCAUGUGGUUUAAUUCGAAGCAACGCGAAGAACCUUACCAAAUCUUGACAUCCUUUGACAACUCUAGAGAUAGAGCCUUCCCCUUCGGGGGACAAAGUGACAGGUGGUGCAUGGUUGUCGUCAGCUCGUGUCGUGAGAUGUUGGGUUAAGUCCCGCAACGAGCGCAACCCUUAAGCUUAGUUGCCAUCAUUAAGUUGGGCACUCUAAGUUGACUGCCGGUGACAAACCGGAGGAAGGUGGGGAUGACGUCAAAUCAUCAUGCCCCUUAUGAUUUGGGCUACACACGUGCUACAAUGGACAAUACAAAGGGCAGCGAAACCGCGAGGUCAAGCAAAUCCCAUAAAGUUGUUCUCAGUUCGGAUUGUAGUCUGCAACUCGACUACAUGAAGCUGGAAUCGCUAGUAAUCGUAGAUCAGCAUGCUACGGUGAAUACGUUCCCGGGUCU
rnacentral:rRNA from 1 species